CUUUGUCUGGUUUUCAACUGAUCCCACCACACUUCAGCUAAGGCUGUCAUGACCUGUUUUAGAUUAAUCGACUGAAGAUACCCAUUGAUUACAACCACAGGAUACUCUGCCAAUGCUGUUGAAGCAAAAGAUUCAAUUAAAGCCUUCUUAGAUCCAAAUCCAUACAUUAGAAGGCCAAAACCACACCUGAGCUCAAAAACCCAUCGGGGAUAUAGCUUCUUAUAACUAUUCACAAGAGCAAUAGUCUCUUUCUCAUGCUUUGGUUCAAUAUUAGCUACAGCUGCUCUCAGCUCCUGUUCAUCAACCAGAUCAAUAUCAGAAAUCUUGCGGGUUGAUUUCUUACCCGAACUCUCUUUUGCGAGAAAGUAAUUCCUCGAGAACUCAAAUUCCUCUUCAUCACCAUUGUUAAUAUCCAUGAUUUAAGAAAUCAAACCAAAUAAGAAAAUGGUACACAGGAAUUUUGAUGGGCAGUGUCGAUUAUUGGUGUCCUGGCGGGCGGCAGGGAGGCGGGCAGUGAUGCGGUGGGAGUUCAAAACUCAACUUGGUUCCACAACUUCUAGCCACGGCCAAUUGGGUCCGAUAUCAG
rnacentral:misc_RNA from 1 species